GCCAGUGUGGUAUAAUGGUUUGAACAUUGGAUUUCCACUCUAGAGAUCAGGGUUCAACUCCCCACUCAGCCU